rnacentral:misc_RNA from 1 species
AAGCACUGCUUGGUAUUGGGCGUCCGGCCCCGCGAGAGCGGCGGCCGCGCCCCAAACCCUUCGGCGGAGCCACUCGGUCUCUGGGCGUAGUAGAAUUACUUCAAUAACGUCCUGGGAGCCCUUGGGGUCUCCCGCCGUCAAACCACCAAAUAUUUUUUCAGGUUGACCUCGGAUCAGGUAGGGAUACCCGCUGAACUUAA